rnacentral:rRNA from 1 species
GGUUCAUUCAAAUUUCUGCCCUAUCAACUUUCGACGGCUGGGUCUUGGCCAGCCGUGGUGACAACGGGUAACGGAGGAUUAGAGUUCGAUCCCGGAGACGGAGCCUGAGAAACGGCUACUACAUCCAAGGAAGGCAGCAGGCGCGCAAAUUACCCAAUCCCGACCGGGGAGGUAGUGACAAUAAAUACUGGUACAGGGCUCUUUUGGGUCUUGUAAUUGGAAUGAGUACAAUUUAAAUCCCUUAACGAGGAACAAUUGGAGGGCAAGUCUGGUGCCAGCAGCCGCGGUAAUUCCAGCUCCAAUAGCGUAUAUUAAAGUUGUUGAGGUUAAAAAGCUCGUAGUUG